AGGAUAAUAGUUAACUAUAACAUUUAACUUGCACUUAAAAAGCAUUGAAAUCACUCAAUUUAUCUUU
rnacentral:tRNA from 1 species